UGCCUGGCAAGGAGAAAUAUGUGUGCAAGUUGAAGCGAUCCUUGUAUGGUUUGAAACAGUCCCCUCGUCAGUGGAACAAGAGAUUAUGCUGCUGAUCUGGACAGGCGAAGAUCACUUACAGGUUAUGUGUUUACUGUUGGCAGUUGUGCUGUGAGUUGGAGGGCUACUUUACAGUCUGUUGUUGCUUUGUCUACUACUGAAGCAGAAUAUAUGGCUAUUUGUGAAGCGUGCAAAGAAUUAAUUUGGCUAAAA